AACACAUGCAAGUCGAGCGGUAGCACAAGAGAGCUUGCUCUCUGGGUAACGAGCGGCGGACGGGUGAGUAAUGUCUGGGAAACUGCCUGAUGGAGGGGGAUAACUACUGGAAACGGUAGCUAAUACCGCAUAACGUCGCAAGACCAAAGAGGGGGACCUUCGGGCCUCUUGCCAUCAGAUGUGCCCAGAUGGGAUUAGCUAGUAGGUGGGGUAAUGGCUCACCUAGGCGACGAUCCCUAGCUGGUCUGAGAGGAUGACCAGCCACACUGGAACUGAGACACGGUCCAGACUCCUACGGGAGGCAGCAGUGGGGAAUAUUGCACAAUGGGCGCAAGCCUGAUGCAGCCAUGCCGCGUGUGUUAAGAAGGCCUUCGGGUUGUAAAGCACUUUCAGCGAGGAGGAAGGUGGUGAGCUUAAUACGCUCAUCAAUUGACGGUACUCGCAGAAGAAGCACCGGCUAACUCCGUGCCAGCAGCCGCGGUAAUACGGAGGGUGCAAGCGUUAAUCGGAAUUACUGGGCGUAAAGCGCACGCAGGGGGUUUGUUAAGUCAGAGGUGAAAUCCCCGGGGUCAACCUGGGAACUGCAUUUGAAACUGGCAAGCUAGAGUCUCGUAGAGGGGGGUAGAAUUCCAGGGGUAGCGGUGAAAUGCGUAGAGAUCUGGAGGAAUACCGGUGGCGAAGGCGGCCCCCUGGACGAAGACUGACGCUCAGGUGCGAAAGCGUGGGGAGCAACAGGAUUGAUNCCNGGUAUCAGCCGGUAACGAUGUUGAUUGGAGUNUUCCCUUAGCG
rnacentral:rRNA from 1 species